UUUGUGCUUUCCCUCCACUGUUGAUGUUUUUCAUGCAAAUCCACAAGUAAACUUUUUUCACAAAUUAUUUUACCCACAAAUAAUGUAGGUAUGAGGAGAGGAGGUAGUGGUUUGUGAACAGGCUUUUAAAAAAAUUGUCCUUGUUUUGGAGUGAUCUCUGAUUCAGUUGCCGAGUCAGGCCUUUUGAAACACAGCUCCUAAACUGGAGAGCUGUGUGGUGAGGCAAAUGAAAUAGAUUUUUUUUUUUGGUGCACCAAGAUUUCUAAGUCUGUAAACUUGUUUCUGAAACUAGUGGAAGUUCCUGAGUGAACCUGGAUAGCCUGAGUCUUCUAUUGCCAGGUCCCCUUAAGUUUUAAAAACAUUUCUUAUUCUUCAUUUUUUAUUAUGGUUCUGUUUGUUUUGUGAACACUGGGAGCAUAGAGAUGGGGUGAAAAAAUUUUCCCUUCCUUAGAACUAUUUUUAAAAGUAUUGGUUUAUGAGUUGUUGCUUUAGAUUCUCUAUUUUUACAUUUGUAUGAGCUUACUGUGUGGUUAUCAAAGAUUCAGUAUUUUUUUUUCUUAAAAAAUGCACAUUUCAGUUUCUCAUAACCAAUCUGGAUUUAUUCUAGGUUAUAACUCAUAUUCUUUUAAAAGCGCCCUCCUGUCCUAAGGGACACUGUAAUAGCUAACUGGCAGCUAUGAUUGACCUAAGUAUGAUCUUUUCACAUUUUCUUUUCUUUUUUUGGCAUUACAUGUGUGGUAUCCAUGUCACCAGGCUCAGGUGGGCCUUUUCCUUUUACAUUGACUUUACUUUUUUCUGUUCUUUUAGGUCUUUUACCACCAUUCCUACAGUGGUUGGCAAGAUAUCGUUUCCGCCUCACUCUCCAUGUACCAUGCCAGUGACAUCUUAGCUGCUAGAGUGUGGAGCUGGCCUGUGAGAGUCAAGUCACCUUGUAAAUUUUGCCUACAUAAAUUAACACAUCCCCUGUUAUGUCAUAACAACCAUGUAAGGGAGAGUGCUUUCCUGCUCUGUCUUAGGUAUUGGUGAUGUGACCUGUUCACGCAGGGAAAACUUGAACCUUCUCAGGAAAAAAUCUGCCAACUCAUGCUAUAGAAGAACCGAACUUCAGUUGCUUUUAGAUAUAAACUUUCUACAACCACAGUUUAAUUCAAAUAGUCUUCUAUAGGGAAAGCCAAGACCUGUGUCAUAAUGCUGACUAGCAAGUAAGUAUUUGCAAUAUAUAUAGUGGUGGGAUUACUAAUACAGUGGGAUAAAUAAUACAGGUUAAUGAAAUGGAAAACUAUGUAUGAUAGCAGUCCACCUUUUAUUAUAUUACCUUCUCCCCACCUCCAUCCCUCGGUGGGUGUAAACAUUUAUUUAGUGGUAGGAUAUUAUUUUUAUUUGUAGACACUCUAAAGGUUUAGAGAACAGAUAAUGAUAAAAGAUUUAACUAGGAUAUCUGGCAUAGCCAAGAAGUGAUAAGAUGCUCAGGAAAAUGUUCAAGGACUACAGAGCAGAUAAGUGGCAGAACUGAACCUAGAGGCUAGAUCUCCUGCCUUCUUGCCCAGAGGUCCGUCUACUAGCUCUCAUAGCAUAUUAAGGCUGCCUGUUUUCCCUGCUAGCUGUAAGGCACAGUCUGUUUUGUUUCCCUUUGUUCAUCCCUGAACUAAAAGCAAAGACUCAGUGAUUUAAAACACAAAAAAUUUGAUUUAUUGGAGAAAUGACUUUACUUGGAGCUUGGAUGCUUUUAUUUUAUUGUUUAAAGAUAACUAGGGGAUUGCUUUUUAAUGAUUCAUUAAGUACUUACAGUGUAUACUCAAAAAGGUUAGAUAAGCUGGAAUCAAAAAGGGAGUCUGAACCUUAUUCAUAAUGUCAUAGCUAGGAGCAAAACCAAAAUCAGCAUAGAUAGAAUGCUUCCCCCAUAUGUCCAUGUGUCUAACUCCAUAGAUGAAAAGUGUAUGUGUGUGUUUAUAUGUAUGUGUGUGUGGGUGUAUACCACCAGCUCUUAAAGUGCAUUCGGAUUGCAUUCUGAGAGAAGUUUAGCAGGUCCGUUACAAUCUGCAGAUUAUGUUGCAGUGUUUUAAGUGGAUUUUUAAGAAUAAAUUUUAUUUGAAAACUUUUGGAUUUACAGGAAAAUGGUAUAGAUAGUACACAGAAUUCCCAUUUAUUUCCCUUAUUACCAACAUCUCACAUUAUGUGGUAUAUUUGUUACAAUUAAUGAACCAAUAUUGAUACAUUUUUAUUGACUAAAGUCUGUACUUUAUUCAGAUUCCUUUAGUUUUUGCAUAAUGUUCUUUUUCUAUUCCAGGGUUACAUAAAUGUUUAUUAGCAUGAUCAGUGAUACAGAAGGCAUCCACCUAGAGGUUACACUAGUUCUGAAGUCUCUUUCAAUUUGUGGGAGUAUGAUUGAAUGAGUACAGGCUUGACUAUUGCAGAGUUCUGACUGGUAACAGUUACAUUCUGUAACAAGUUGAGAAAGUGGUUACUUUAUUGAUGGUAGUGGCUCUUUAAUUGUUUGUUCCUAAAUUUUUAACAUCAUAAGUACUAGAAAGGGCAAGACUAACAUGGUUACUUCUGUUAUUGUCAUAGGCUAAAUUGCAGGUGAAAAUUAUCUGAAGUAAAUUGCCUUCUUUGGAAGCAGUGUGGAUCAACUAUCCUACUUCAAUAUGUUUACCCUCCUGAAAGUAGUUUUUGAAGUCAGCACUUUCUGAUAAGUCAUUAAUCAUUCAAAUUUCCCUAUGAAGAUCUUAAAAUAUUUCUUCCUUAAAAGUUCAUUUGUUAUUUAGUAGAGUUGAACACAUGCACGUUCUAUGACUCAGCAGUUCCACUCCUAGAUUUAUACACAACAGAACUGUGUGCUUAUAUUCACCAGAAGACAUGGACAGAAAUGUUUAUGGCAGGCCUAAUUGUCAUAGUCCAAACUGGAAUUUUUCAAAUGCCUAUCAACAGCAGAAUGGGUAAAUAACUUUCUGUAGUUACACAAUGGAUAUUGAAUAGUGAUCAGAAUGAACAAACUAUAACUACAUGUAAUAUGUGUGAAUUUCACAAAUGCAUUGCUGAGCAAAAGAAACCAGACACUAAAAAUUGAGUACUUUAUGGUUGUUUUACAAACAGGUAAAACUAAUCUGUGGUGCAGUGUCAGAAGUUGGGAGAUUGAUUAUCCUUGUUGAGGUUUGGGGAAAGUGCUUAAAACGGGGUCUAAAGGGGCCUUCUAGGGUGCUAGUUAUGUUCUGUUUCAUGUUUUGGAUACUAGUUUCAUGGGUGUGUUCACUUUGUGAAAAUUCACCAAGCUUAUAUAUUUUUCUGUAUUCAUGUUCUUCAAAGAAGAGUAUACAAAAAGAAUUAGUAAUCCUGGAAAACCCCCCACAAAAUUCACUGCUAACACUUGAGGUAUGUAUGGAGAACAAACUGAACAUGUUAACCUUAUAUCUUAGAAUCUAUGGUUCCUGAAUUAUAGGAUUAUCAAAGUGCCAUUGUGUUACUGGAGCUGUUACAGUCCUACUUGUAUUAUAAGAUGAAUAAAGUAAGUGGUGCUAAUGGCUGCUUUUUACUGUAAUCAGGUUUUUGGGAUGCCUUAAAAAAUACUUUCUUUUUUUCCCCAGUCUCUAUUAAGUAGAGUCACAAGUCACAAUGUCCACCCAUUCUUUUAUUGUAGUAAAGACUGAUAAGCCAAGUAGUUGUGACUUGGAUAUAUUACUGUGUUUAUGUUAGCUGGGAUUUCUCCUCCUCACUGAUUGUCUUUGUUACAUCAGUGAGCGAGCUUCGGUCUUGCCUCUCUGAUAUUCUACAUGUUCUUUUGGCUUUCAAGGCAUCACUUUAAACCUAACAAGAAUGUAGAUUCCUUUUCCCAAGCUGAGCCCCUUUUUGUGACUUUAUUGUGUUUGUGUUUGUUUUUUUUCUUAUUGGUACCUUUUGUUCUUCUAGUUACUUGAGUUAAAAUUAAUUUUUGGCUCUUCCCUUUUCCUUUGCAACACUUUCCUAUCCUUUAAAAAAAAUGUGGUAAAAUAUAUAUUACAUAAAAUUUACCAUCUUAACCAUUUCUUAAGUGUACAGUUCAGUAUCCCACCCUUUUAUUUACUAACUAAAUCCUAGUUGGUGCCUACCUUUGUCAUCUCACUUAUCUUGUACUUUCCAUUAUCACCACCUUUACCCUUGUUUAAAACUUAUCAGUGUGCCUGGACUUUUGUCUAAAUAGCAGCUCAACUUCCAGUGUUUCCUCUAUAUUCAGUAUAUUCUAUAUCUUCCUGCCAGAUUUACCUUUCUAAAAUUUUACUUACAAAAUCAUUUUUUCACACAAAACUUUUGCUUGCCACUAUCUAUAGUAUUUAAUGCAAAUUCCUUAGUCUCAUAUUCAAGGCCUUCUAUAGUAGAGUUACAUUCUGCCUUUCUCUCUUUAAUGGUAAUGUUGUUUUUGAUAACCAGUAACUGCUUACUAAAUUCCAGGCUAUAUGAAGCACCAUGCAUGCAUGAUUUUAUUUAAUUUAGUCCUAUAAAGUAGGUACUGUAAUUGCCACUGCUGAGGAAAUAGAGGCUGGAAGGUUCUAAAUAACAUGCCCAAGCUAAUGAGUGAUGGAAUUGGGAGUUCAAAUAUGUCUCCAUACUCCACAGUUGUAGCUUGUAUCUCACAGAGCUCCUGAACCAUUGAGCAUUCCUACCUUUACCCUAGCUCUUUUACUCUGUAGAUCCACUGCCUGAAAGUCCCUUGAUUCUU